UCAUUUCUCUUUAUCUAAACACGGGAUGAUUCCCGGCCUGUUCACUCAAGGAGCCCAUCAUGGCACUGAGCGUUGAAGAAAAAGCCCAGAUCGUUAACGAGUACAAGCAAGCUGAA
rfam:Pseudomonas sp. Chol1 Contig73, whole genome shotgun sequence.